ensembl:misc_RNA Metazoa_SRP Metazoan signal recognition particle RNA
GCUGGGUGCGGUGGCUCACACCUGUAAUCCCAGCACUUUGGGAGGCUGAGGUGGGUGAAUCACUUGAGGUCAGGAGUUCAAGACCAGCCUGGCCAACAUGGUGAAACCCCAUCUCUA